AUAUCAUAUUGAAACACCAGUUCCUGUACGAUCAACAAUGUUAAGCAAAGUCGAGCCUUGUCAGUACCUUGAUGGGUGACCGCUUGGGAAUACCAGGUGCUGUAAG